CCUGGGGCUGGCUCGUACGUGAACAAAAGCAGCUGCAGACGAUUUUUUCACGGGCCUAAUGGGUUCAGACCACGAGGUGAAAGAAUGUUGAAGAUUGAUGGCUCGGAUAAAGUGUUUUACUGGAACUGGGAGACUUUUGUUGAGAGCUCAGCUCUGAAGCCCUUUGGGUAGCCUUGGGUGCACCCCUCAACAACAGCUUCACUUCUAGAUGCAAAGUGGGAUGGCUGUCCUGUAUGGCCGUUUCGAUUAAGUUAGACUUACUUCUGAGUAAACAUGUGCAGAGUCAGGCUGCAAAAGCAAUCUGUGUGGUGGUACAAACAAGACUGAACAGAGAAACACAGGAAAACCCCAUGAAACAGAACAGUGUUGAACAGAAAAACACAGGAAAAUGGAUCAAACAGCUGCACAGAUCUGAACCAUAAAUAAACAAACUGCACCAUACUUGAAGACCUGCAGAAUUAAGAUGUUUUUCCCUCAGAGCACAUUCCUGGACCAAAAAGAGAGAGACAUAUGCUAGCAGCUAUUGCUUCAACAACUGUUGUACCAGAACCUUCGAUAAUGCACCAUUUCUCUGGCAGACGUGACAAAAUGAUGAAAAAGAGAUUUUGUGUAAAUAGAAAGCACAAAGAUCCAUUGUUGUAUAAGAAGUACUUUGGAAAUCCCCACUCUGCCAUGGAGACUUGCUGGAUGACCUUGGACAGGUCAUGUGCUCUCAACCUAACCUACUUCACAGGGUUAUUGUCAGGAUAAAAUGGAGAAGAGGAGAAUGAUGUAAACCACUUUGGAGCUCCACUGAGCAGAAGAGAUGGAUAUAAAUGAAAUGAUAAAUAUGCUCUUAAUAUACUAUAUACAUUAAUAACUCAGACCACAGAAAAGAUUUCAGCCCUGACAGUGCUGUGAAUGAAAGCACGAACUUCCAUAUGGUGAACUAAUCAAUUGUUGACUGGAUUCAGUCCUGUAUAUAGGAUGAAUACAGACAGACAGUUUAUCCCUUGCAAAUAUAGGCAAGUUUACUUAAGUGUGUGCUGAAGUGCUGCAGUACAGAUGAUUUUGACUGUUUUUGUAAUAUUCUGUGAUUGUUGUUGAUUCCACCCUAAAUGGUGGCCCAUUCUGUUGCUAUGAAGUAAAGGCUUUAUGCUGUUCUGUCA